GGGUUGUGAGGUUAAGCGACUAAGCGUACACGGUGGAUGCCCUGGCAGUCAGAGGCGAUGAAGGGCGUGCUAAUCUGCGAUA
rnacentral:rRNA from 7 species